UACGUAGGGGGCAAGCGUUUGUCCGGAUUUAUUGGGCGUAAAGAGCGUGUAGGCGGCCUGAAAGGUCAGCUGUGAAAACUCGAGGCUCAACCUCGAGACGUCGGUUGAAACCAUCUGGCUAGAGUCCGGAAGAGGAGUGUGGAAUUCCCGGUGUAGCGGUGAAAUGCGUAGAUAUCAGGAGGAACACCGGUGGUGUAGACGGCUUUCUGGACCGUAACUGACGCUGAGACACGAAAGCGUGGGUAGCAAACAGG
rnacentral:rRNA from 1 species